GGGAAUCUACCCAACCCUACGGAAUAACGCAUGGAAACGUGUGCUAAUACCGUAUACGCCCUUCGGGGGAAAGAUUUAUCGGGGAUGGAUGAGCCCGCGUUGGAUUAGCUAGUUGGUGGGGUAAAGGCCUACCAAGGCGACGAUCCAUAGCUGGUCUGAGAGGAUGAUCAGCCACAUUGGGACUGAGACACGGCCCAAACUCCUACGGGAGGCAGCAGUGGGGAAUAUUGGACAAUGGGCGCAAGCCUGAUCCAGCCAUGCCGCGUGAGUGAUGAAGGCCCUAGGGUUGUAAAGCUCUUUCACCGGUGAAGAUAAUGACGGUAACCGGAGAAGAAGCCCCGGCUAACUUCGUGCCAGCAGCCGCGGUAAUACGAAGGGGGCUAGCGUUGUUCGGAAUUACUGGGCGUAAAGCGCACGUAGGCGGAUAUUUAAGUCAGGGGUGAAAUCCCGGGGCUCAACCCCGGAACUGCCUUUGAUACUGGGUAUCUAGAGUCCAGAAGAGGUGAGUGGAAUUCCGAGU
rnacentral:rRNA from 1 species